AGUGAACGCUGGCGGUAGGCCUAACACAUGCAAGUCGAACGGCAGCACAGUAAGAGCUUGCUCUUACGGGUGGCGAGUGGCGGACGGGUGAGGAAUACAUCGGAAUCUACUUUUUCGUGGGGGAUAACGUAGGGAAACUUACGCUAAUACCGCAUACGACCUACGGGUGAAAGCAGGGGAUCUUCGGACCUUGCGCGAUUGAAUGAGCCGAUGUCGGAUUAGCUAGUUGGCGGGGUAAAGGCCCACCAAGGCGACGAUCCGUAGCUGGUCUGAGAGGAUGAUAGGCCACACUGGAACUGAGAAACGGUCCAGACUCCUACGGGAGGCAGCAGUGGGGAAUAUUGGACAAUGGGCGCAAGCCUGAUCCAGCCAUACCGCGUGGGUGAAGAAGGCCUUCGGGUGGUAAAGCCCUUUUGUUGGGAAAGAAAAGCAGCAGGUUAAUACCCCGCUGUUCUGACGGUACCCAAAGAAUAAGCACCGGCUAACUUCGU
rnacentral:rRNA from 1 species